GGUCAUGAGUGCCAGUGACAGCCCCGGCUUGCUGGCCGGCAACCCUCCUUCCGCGGUGGGGUGCCCCGGGUGAAGACCUGGCCUGCCGGUCAUUCCGCCGGUGGGCAAGCGCGUAGA
rnacentral:ncRNA from 2 species